UACGUAGGGUGCGAGCGUUGUCCGGAAUUCUUGGGCGUAAAGAGCUCGUAGGCGGUUUGUCGCGUCGGUCGUGAAAACUUGGGGCUUAACCCUGAGCUUGCGGUCGAUACGGGCAUGACUGGAGUUCGGCAGGGGAGACUGGAAUUCCUGGUGUAGCGGUGAAAUGCGCAGAUAUCAGGAGGAACACCGGUGGCGAAGGCGGGUCUCUGGGCCGAUACUGACGCUGAGGAGCGAAAGCGUGGGGAGCGAACAGG
rnacentral:rRNA from 1 species